rnacentral:rRNA from 1 species
AACGAACGCUGGCGGCAUGCCUAACACAUGCAAGUCGAACGAGAUCUUCGGGUCUAGUGGCGCACGGGUGCGUAACGCGUGGGAAUCUGCCCUUUGGUUCGGAAUAACAGUUGGAAACGACUGCUAAUACCGGAUGAUGACGAAAGUCCAAAGAUUUAUCGCCAGAGGAUGAGCCCGCGUAGGAUUAGCUAGUUGGUGUGGUAAAGGCGCACCAAGGCGACGAUCCUUAGCUGGUCUGAGAGGAUGAUCAGCCACACUGGGACUGAGAAACGGCACAGACUCCUACGGGAGGCAGCAGUGGGUAAUAUUGGACAAUGGGCGAAAGCCUGAUCCAGCAAUGCCGCGUGAGUGAUGAAGGCCUUAGGGUUGUAAAGCUCUUUUACCCGGGAUGAUAAUGACAGUACCGGGAGAAUAAGCUCCGGCUAACUCCGUGCCAGCCGCCGCAGUAA